GACGAACGCUGGCGGCGUGCUUAACACAUGCAAGUCGAACGGUGAAGGAGAGCUUGCUCUCCGGAUCAGUGGCGAACGGGUGAGUAACACGUGGGCAACCUGCCCCAGACUUCGGGAUAACGCUUCGAAAGAGGUGCUAAUACCGGAUACGAACUCCUUGGGCAUCCUUGGAGUUGGAAAGUUUUUCGGUCUGGGAUGGGCCCGCGGCCUAUCAGCUUGUUGGUGAGGUAACGGCUCACCAAGGCGACGACGGGUAGCCGGCCUGAGAGGGCGACCGGCCACACUGGGACUGGGACACGGCCCAGACUUCUACGGGAGGCAGCAGGGGGGAAUAUUGCGCAAUGGGCGAAAGCCUGACGCAGCAACGCCGCGUGAGGGAUGACGGCCUUCGGGUUGUAAACCUCUUUCAGCAGGGAAGAAGCGAAAGUGACGGUACCUGCAGAAGAAGCACCGGCUAACUACGUGCCAGCAGCCGCCGUAA
rnacentral:rRNA from 1 species